CAUUUUUACAGAGGACAGGAGGCUGACGUCAACCGUAAAGCUGCUAAAGUCUGUGGGGAAAUGUAUUAAUUUCAGCCGACUGCAGAACCGUUAGAGGACAAAGAAUAUACUCUACAAUGAUUACUGUUCUCUUGGUUAUUAGCAAAAUAUUUUUUUUAAGAUAUAAAAAUACCCCAAAAAAUCCCCAAAACCACAAUCCAUUUGCUUCACUCUAUAUCUUCUCCAUGAUAUCUCCUGUUUUCUCAAAAAAUCAUACUCAUAAAAACAUUUACAUUUUUCCAUCCAUCAAUAACGGCGACAUAUAAACUUCAUAUUUUUCCACUUGUCGUAUUUUUAAAAAUAAAAUAUUUUUUUAAAAAAAGUUGUAUUUUCUUUCACAAGAAGCCAAAGUGAAUAAAAGUACUGGACAAAAUGGCCGCUCGGAACCAGAUUUUUUUUUUGUAAAAAAAAAAAAUUGCACCAAACGAUUAAACAUAUUCUGACCAUA